rnacentral:rRNA from 1 species
GAUGAACGCUGGCGGCGUGCCUAAUACAUGCAAGUCGAGCGAACAGACGAGGAACUUGCUCCUCUGACGUUAGCGGCGGACGGGGGAGUAACACGUGGAUAACCUACCUAUAAGACUGGGAUAACUUCGGGAAACCGGAGCUAAUACCGGAUAAUAUAUUGAACCGCAUGGUUCAAUAGUGAAAGACGGUUUUGCUGUCACUUAUAGAUGGAUCCGCGCCGCAUUAGCUAGUUGGUAAGGUAACGGCUUACCAAGGCAACGAUGCGUAGCCGACCUGAGAGGGUGAUCGGCCACACUGGAACUGAGACACGGUCCAGACUCCUACGGGAGGCAGCAGUAGGGAAUCUUCCGCAAUGGGCGAAAGCCUGACGGAGCAACGCCGCGUGAGUGAUGAAGGUCUUCGGAUCGUAAAACUCUGUUAUUAGGGAAGAACAAAUGUGUAAGUAACUAUGCACGUCUUGACGGUACCUAAUCAGAAAGCCACGGCUAACUACGUG